GACGAACGCUGGCGGCGUGCUUAACACAUGCAAGUCGAACGGAAAGGCCCUGCUUGCAGGGUACUCGAGUGGCGAACGAGUGAGUAACACGUGGGUGAUCUGCCCUGCACUUCGGGAUAAGCCUGGGAAACUGGGUCUAAUACCGGAUAGGAGCCAUUUUUAGUGUGAUGGUUGGAAAGUUUUUUCGGUGUAGGAUGAGCUCGCGGCCUAUCAGCUUGUUGGUGGGGUAAUGGCCUACCAAGGCGGCGACGGGUAGCCGGCCUGAGAGGGUGGACGGCCACAUUGGGACUGAGAUACGGCCCAGACUCCUACGGGAGGCAGCAGUGGGGAAUAUUGCACAAUGGGCGCAAGCCUGAUGCAGCGACGCCGCGUGGGGGAUGACGGCCUUCGGGUUGUAAACUCCUUUCGCUAGGGACGAAGCUUUUUGUGACGGUACCUAGAUAAGAAGCACCGGCUAACUACGUGCCAGCAGCCGCGGUAAUACGUAGGGUGCGAGCGUUGUCCGGAAUUACUGGGCGUAAAGGGCUCGUAGGUGGUUUGUCGCGUCGUCUGUGAAAUUCCGGGGCUUAACUCCGGGCGUGCAGGCGAUACGGGCAUAACUUGAGUACUGUAGGGGUAACUGGAAUUCCUGGUGUAGCGGUGAAAUGCGCAGAUAUCAGGAGGAACACCGAUGGCGAAGGCAGGUUACUGGGCAGUUACUGACGCUGAGGAGCGAAAGCAUGGGUAGCGAACAGG
rnacentral:rRNA from 1 species